UACGUAGGUGGCAAGCGUUGUCCGGAAUUAUUGGGCGUAAAGCGCGCGCAGGCGGUCCUUUAAGUCUGAUGUGAAAUCCCACGGCUCAACCGUGGAAGGUCAUUGGAAACUGGGGGGACUUGAGUACAGAAGAGGAAAGCGGAAUUCCAAGUGUAGCGGUGAAAAUGCGUAGAGAUUUGGAGGAACACCAGUGGCGAAGGCGGCUUUCUGGUCUGUAACUGACGCUGAGGCGCGACAGCGUGGGGAGCAAACAGGA
rnacentral:rRNA from 1 species